UACAGAGGGUGCGAGCGUUAAUCGGAAUUACUGGGCGUAAAGCGCACGUAGGCGGCUUGGUAUGUCGGGUGUGAAAUCCCCGGGCUCAACCUGGGAACUGCAUCCGAAACUGCCUUGCUAGAGUAUGGGAGAGGGAAGUGGAAUUUCCGGUGUAGCGGUGAAAUGCGUAGAUAUCGGGAGGAACACCAGUGGCGAAGGCGGCUGCCUGGACCUUUGCUGACGCUAAUGCGCGAAAGCGUGGGGAGCGAUCCGG
rnacentral:rRNA from 1 species